rnacentral:rRNA from 1 species
UACGUAGGGGGCAAGCGUUGUCCGGAAUCAUUGGGCGUAAAGAGCGUGUAGGCGGCUCGAUAAGUCUGCUGUGAAAGUCCAGGGCUCAACCCUGGAAGGCCGGUGGAAACUGUCGGGCUAGAGUCCGGAAGAGGCGAGUGGAAUUCCCGGUGUAGCGGUGAAAUGCGCAGAUAUCGGGAGGAACACCAAUGGCGAAGGCAGCUCGCUGGGACGGUACUGACGCUGAGGUGCGAAAGCGUGGGGAGCAGACAGG